UACGGGGGGAGCAAGCGUUGUUCGGAUUUACUGGGCGUAAAGGGCGCGUAGGCGGUCAGCACAAGUCAAUUGUGAAAUCUCCGAGCUUAACUCGGAAAGGUCAACUGAAACUGUGCGACUAGAGUGCGGAAGGGGCAGCUGGAAUUCUUGGUGUAGCGGUGAAAUGCGUAGAUAUCAAGAGGAACACCUGCGGCGAAGGCGGCAUCCUGGACCGGCAUUGACGCUGAACAGCGAAAGCUAGGGGAGCAAACGGG
rnacentral:rRNA from 1 species